rnacentral:lncRNA from 1 species
UAAUGCAUUCUUUUGCAGGGUAUGAUGAUGAAAGGUUACUUCUUAUGUCUCAAAAGAGCUUAGAGAAGCGUUUUGGUCAGUCUCCAGUUUUUGUUGCUGCUACCUUUAUGGAACAGGGUGGCAUUCCACCUUCAACCAACCCUGCAACUCUUCUUAAGGAAGCAAUCCAUGUUAUCAGUUGUGGUUAUGAAGACAAGACGGAAUGGGGAAAAGAGGUGAAUAUGUCUACUUAUCAUUGUGCUUUUGAUUCUGGCCCUCUGCUAUAAAGAAAUUUGAGAUGUGAGAUUAAUGAGUAGAUUUUUUUAGUUUAUUAAUUAAACAUUUUCUGACCUCACCAGAUUGGAUGGAUCUAUGGUUCUGUGACUGAAGAUAUUUUGACUGGGUUUAAGAUGCAUGCUCGUGGUUGGAUUUCCGUCUAUUGCAUGCCACCUCGCCCAGCAUUUAAGGGUUCUGCUCCCAUCAAUCUUUCUGACCGUCUCAAUCAGGUGCUUCGGUGGGCCUUGGGUUCAAUUGAGAUAUUCCUGAGCAGACAUUGCCCCUUGUGGUAUGGCUACCAUGGGAAGUUGAGAUCUCUGCAGAGACUUGCUUAUAUUAACACCAUUAUCUACCCCCUUACCUCAAUCCCAUUGAUUGCUUACUGUAUUCUUCCUGCAUUUUGUCUUGUCACAAAUAAGUUCAUUAUUCCCGAGGCAAGUAUUUUUCCUCUAUCUCAUUUUUCUGAUAAGCUUUUAUCAUUUAUGUUGUGUUCCAGCUGAUAACAUUAACAUUUGGUUAAUUUUAUUUCUUUUACUCUUCACAGCUUUGGCUAAAUUUCAUUUCUUUUUUGUACCUGUCAGAUCAACUUGAAAGGUCUUGAUGGUAUUCAGGGCCCAGUCUAUGUGGGAACUGGUUGCUGUUUCAAUAGGAAGGCUUUAUAUGGUUAUGAUCCUGUUUUGACUGAGGAAGAUUUGGAGCCUAACAUUAUUGUGAAGAGUUGUUGUGGUUCUACUAGAAAGAAGGGAAGGGGUGGCAAGAAGAACACUGACAAGAGGGGACUUAAAAGAACAGAAUCGACCACACCUAUCUUUAAUAUGGAGGACAUAGAGGAGGGAGUUGAAGGUAUGCUAAUAUGAUAAUUGUUAUCUUAACUCUAAUUUAAGUUGCUUAUGCAUGUAGAAUUUCAUAUGUUGAAUUUCAUGCAAUUUCAUUUUACCCCCUAUCCCACUGAUCAGCUUCACAAGUAAUUUAUACUAGUUUGCCAUAGUUUGUUUGCCAGAUAUCUAGGCAUGAUUGUCUGAAAGAUGAGAUGACAAUGUUGUUUCCUUCAUGAUAUCUAAUGCAUUCUUUUGCAGGGUAUGAUGAUGAAAGGUUACUUCUUAUGUCUCAAAAGAGCUUAGAGAAGCGUUUUGGUCAGUCUCCAGUUUUUGUUGCUGCUACCUUUAUGGAACAGGGUGGCAUUCCACCUUCAACCAACCCUGCAACUCUUCUUAAGGAAGCAAUCCAUGUUAUCAGUUGUGGUUAUGAAGACAAGACGGAAUGGGGAAAAGAGGUGAAUAUGUCUACUUAUCAUUGUGCUUUUGAUUCUGGC